UCUCUCUCUCUCUCUCUCUCUCUCUCACACACACACACGCAGAGACACUUGUAAAGGGAGAGGAAUAACCAGCAUUACAGAGAAGAAUGAUGAAAGAUUGGCACUCCUGGGUCCCUUAAUGGCUUUAAGACUUUUUGGACCAACCAAACCAUGAUGAAAGAACAAAAAUACCCCGGAUAGAAGUAAAGCAACAGCGAUAUUUCUGGAGCAUAAAGAUACCAGAUGCUUGUUGCGUUUCUUUUCUUGUUUCGAAGCUGAUAUAACUUUGGCAAAGCAAUCCAUUCCCACGAGUCUUGUCUGGUGAUGCCUUUAAUUUCAUUCAACAUUGGAUGCCGAAGGAAAUGCCUAGUCGCGCUCAUUGAUUUGAGAAAGUAACAGUUCUAGACUGGCUCGCAAAAGCAUCAUAUGUGCCUUUUUUCGUAUUAAGAUAUGAUGAGAACAGGGUCAUUCUUAGUUUUCCUUGUAAUUAACUAUUAACCAUUCAUAUUAAUUCAAUAACGAGCUGUCCAAUUAUGGGGCAUGAUGACCUUAA